ACCACUGUCUCUCUGAAUACUGUGGAUAGCAUUGAAAGUUUUGUGGCUGAUAUUAAUAGUGGCCACUGGGACACUGUUUUACAGGCUAUCCAGUCUCUGAAAUUGCCAGACAAAACCCUUAUUGAUCUCUAUGAACAGGUUGUUUUGGAAUUGAUAGAGCUUCGUGAACUGGGUGCUGCCAGGUCACUUCUGAGACAGACUGACCCCAUGAUUAUGUUAAAGCAAACACAACCAGAGCGAUAUAUUCAUCUGGAAAACCUGCUAGCCAGAUCUUACUUUGACCCUCGGGAGGCACUGAAGUGGCAGCAGCACCAGGGAUUGCUUCCUCCUGGUAUGACCAUAGAUUUGUUUCGAGGCAAGGCAGCUGUCAAAGAUGUGGAAGAAGAGAAGUUUCCCACACAGCUGAGCAGACAUAUUAAG
rnacentral:lncRNA from 1 species